rnacentral:rRNA from 1 species
UUGAACGCUGGCGGCAGGCCUAACACAUGCAAGUCGAACGGUAACAGGAAGAAGCUUGCUUCUUUGCUGACGAGUGGCGGACGGGUGAGUAAUGUCUGGGAAACUGCCUGAUGGAGGGGGAUAACUACUGGAAACGGUAGCUAAUACCGCAUAACGUCGCAAGACCAAAGAGGGGGACCUUCGGGCCUCUUGCCAUCGGAUGUGCCCAGAUGGGAUUAGCUUGUUGGUGGGGUAACGGCUCACCAAGGCGACGAUCCCUAGCUGGUCUGAGAGGAUGACCAGCCACACUGGAACUGAGACACGGUCCAGACUCCUACGGGAGGCAGCAGUGGGGAAUAUUGCACAAUGGGCGCAAGCCUGAUGCAGCCAUGCCGCGUGUAUGAAGAAGGCCUUCGGGUUGUAAAGUACUUUCAGCGGGGAGGAAGGGAGUAAAGUUAAUACCUUUGCUCAUUGACGUUACCCGCAGAAGAAGCACCGGCUAACUCCGUGCCAGCAGCCGCGGUAAUACGGAGGGUGCAAGCGUUAAUCGGAAUUACUGGGCGUAAAGCGCACGCAGGCGGUUUGUUAAGUCAGAUGUGAAAUCCCCGGGCUCAACCUGGGAACUGCAUCUGAUACUGGCAAGCUUGAGUCUCGUAGAGGGGGGUAGAAUUCCAGGUGUAGCGGUGAAAUGCGUAGAGAUCUGGAGGAAUACCGGUGGCGAAGGCGGCCCCCUGGACGAAGACUGACGCUCAGGUGCGAAAGCGUGGGGAGCAAACAGGAUUAGAUACCCUGGUAGUCCACGCCGUAAACGAUGUCGACUUGGAGGUUGUGCCCUUGAGGCGUGGCUUCCGGAGCUAACGCGUUAAGUCGACCGCCUGGGGAGUACGGCCGCAAGGUUAAAACUCAAAUGAAUUGACGGGGGCCCGCACAAGCGGUGGAGCAUGUGGUUUAAUUCGAUGCCACGCGAAGAACCUUACCUGGUCUUGACAUCCACAGAACUUUCCAGAGAUGGAUUGGUGCCUUCGGGAACUGUGAGACAGGUGCCGCAUGGCUGUCGUCAGCUCGUGUUGUGAAAUGUUGGGUUAAGUCCCGCAACGAGCGCAACCCUUAUCCUUUGUUGCCAGCGGUCCGGCCGGGAACUCAAAGGAGACUGCCAGUGAUAAACUGGAGGAAGGUGAGGAUGACGUCAAGUCAUCAUGGCCCUUACGACCAGGGCUACACACGUGCUACAAUGGCGCAUACAAAGAGAAGCGACCUCGCGAGAGCAAGCGGACCUCAUAAAGUGCGUCGUAGUCCGGAUUGGAGUCUGCAACUCGACUCCAUGAAGUCGGAAUCGCUAGUAAUCGUGGAUCAGAAUGCCACGGUGAAUACGUUCCCGGGCCUUGUACACACCGCCCGUCACACCAUGGGAGUGGGUUGCAAAAGAAGUAGGUAGCUUAACCUUCGGGAGGGCGCUUACCACUUUGUGAUUCAUGACUGGGGUG